ACAGAUAGCGGUGUAGCUAUUUCAAUGUUCAUACAGAUAGCGGUGUAGAUAUUUCCAUGUUCAUCCAGAUGGCUGUGUAGACUUAUCCAUGUUCAUACAGAUGGCGGUGAAGAUAAUUCCAUGUUCAUACAGAUAGCGGUGCGGUGUAGAUAUUUCCAUGUUCAUCCAGAUGGCUGUGUAGACAUAUCCAUGUUCAUACAGAUGGCGGUGAAGAUAAUUCCAUGUUCAUACAGAUAGCGGUGUAGAUAUUUCCAUGUUCAUA
rnacentral:lncRNA from 1 species